rnacentral:rRNA from 1 species
GUGGGAGCACGCUUAGGCGUGUGACUGCGUACCUUUUGUAUAAUGGGUCAGCGACUUAUAUUCUGUAGCAAGGUUAACCGAAUAGGGGAGCCGAAGGGAAACCGAGUCUUAACUGGGCGUUAAGUUGCAGGGUAUAGACCCGAAACCCGGUGAUCUAGCCAUGGGCAGGUUGAAGGUUGGGUAACACUAACUGGAGGACCGAACCGACUAAUGUUGAAAAAUUAGCGGAUGACUUGUGGCUGGGGGUGAAAGGCCAAUCAAACCGGGAGAUAGCUGGUUCUCCCCGAAAGCUAUUUAGGUAGCGCCUCGUGAAUUCAUCUCCGGGGGUAGAGCACUGUUUCGGCAAGGGGGUCAUCCCGACUUACCAACCCGAUGCAAACUGCGAAUACCGGAGAAUGUUAUCACGGGAGACACACGGCGGGUGCUAACGUCCGUCGUGAAGAGGGAAACAACCCAGACCGCCAGCUAAGGUCCCAAAGUCAUGGUUAAGUGGGAAACGAUGUGGGAAGGCCCAGACAGCCAGGAUGUUGGCUUAGAAGCAGCCAUCAUUUAAAGAAAGCGUAAUAGCUCACUGGUCGAGUCGGCCUGCGCGGAAGAUGUAACGGGGCUAAACCAUGCACCGAAGCUGCGGCAGCGACGCUGAUGCGUUGUUGGGUAGGGGAGCGUUCUGUAAGCCUGCGAAGGUGUGCUGUGAGGCAUGCUGGAGGUAUCAGAAGUGCGAAUGCUGACAUAAGUAACGAUAAAGCGGGUGAAAAGCCCGCUCGCCGGAAGACCAAGGGUUCCUGUCCAACGUUAAUCGGGGCAGGGUGAGUCGACCCCUAAGGCGAGGCCGAAAGGCGUAGUCGAUGGGAAACAGGUUAAUAUUCCUGUACUUGGUGUUACUGCGAAGGGGGGACGGAGAAGGCUAUGUUGGCCGGGCGACGGUUGUCCCGGUUUAAGCGUGUAGGCUGGUUUUCCAGGCAAAUCCGGAAAAUCAAGGCUGAGGCGUGAUGACGAGGCACUACGGUGCUGAAGCAACAAAUGCCCUGCUUCCAGGAAAAGCCUCUAAGCAUCAGGUAACAUCAAAUCGUACCCCAAACCGACACAGGUGGUCAGGUAGAGAAUACCAAGGCGCUUGAGAGAACUCGGGUGAAGGAACUAGGCAAAAUGGUGCCGUAACUUCGGGAGAAGGCACGCUGAUAUGUAGG